UGUAAAUGUCAGCGGAAUGAAGAUUUGGAAUAUCAGACAAAAUAACACAACAAAAUGCAAUUACAGACGGACUGAUGAACAUGUAGACAGACGAUGGACACAUUGACACUAUAAUAUGGUAGACAUAUAGACCGACUGGUAGACAUGUGUAGACAUGUAUAGACAGAAUGGUGGGCACAUACACAGACUGGUAUAGUAUGCAGACUAACGGAUACAUAAACUGACCGGUAAACAUGUAAAUAGAAUAUUGAACACGGAGACAGACUGGUGGACAUGUAGACAGAAUAGUAGACACUAAGACGGACUGGUGAAUAUGAAGACUAUUGAAAAUGCAUACAUACUGGUGGACACAUAGACAGACGGAUGAAAAUGUAGACAGACUAGUGAACCAAAGACAGACUUGUGGAAACAUACCUAGACUGUUGAGAAUGUA
rnacentral:lncRNA from 1 species